CAAUCGAACCCGGAGAUAGCUGGUUCUCCCCGAAAUAGCUUUAGGGCUAGCGUCGAGGUAAGUUGCGUGAAGGUAGAGCACUGAAUAUGUGAUGGCCCCAUCUCGGGGUACUGAGCAUAAUCAAACUGCGAAUGUCACGCCAACAUGCUCGGCAGUCAGACAGCGGGUGAUAAGGUCCGUUGUCAAGAGGGAAACAGCCCAGACCAUCAGCUAAGGUCCCAAAAUGUAUGCUAAGUGGAAAAGGAUGUGGAGAUGUACAGACAACUAGGAGGUUGGCUCAGAAGCAGCCAUCCUUUAAAGAGUGCGUAACAGCUCACUAGUCGAAUGACUCUGCGCCGAUAAUUUACCGGGGCUAAGCAUACUACCGAAGCUAUGGAUCCCAAGGGAUGGUAGGGGAGCGUUCCAUGAACGGAGAAGUACGACCGAAAGGACGUGUGGAGAUCAUGGAAGAGAGAAUGCCGGUGUGAGUAGCGGAACGUGGGUGAGAAUCCCACGCACCGAAAACCCAAGGUUUCCAGAGGAAGGUUCGUCCGCUCUGGGUAAGUCGGGACCUAAGGCGAGGCCGAAAGGCGUAGUCGAUGGACAACAGGUAGAGAUUCCUGUACCCGUAUAUAUGUGAAGGAAUGACGGAGAGAGGAAGCUGCAGCCAGCGGCUGGAAGAGCUGGUGCAAGCGAGAUAUCGGGAUGGCAGGCAAAUCCACCAUCCGAAACGAGAAGGCGUGAAGCGUACGGAAAGCUACGGCGAGUACGGAAGGCAGUGGAGGAACUUCCAAGAAAAGUUUCUAACGUAAAGUAUAUAUGGCCCGUACCGAAAAUGGACACACAUGGGUGAGGAGAGAAUCCUAAGGUGAGCGAGAGAACUAUAGCUAAGGAACUCUGCAAAAUGACUCCGUAACUUAGGGAGAAGGAGUGCUCAUAGAGAUAUGAGCCGCAGUGAAACGGCCCAAGCGACUGUUUACCAAAAACACAGCUCUCUGCUAAGCCGCAAGGCGAAGUAUAGGGGGUGACGCCUGCCCGGUGCUGGAAGGUUAAGGGGAGGGGUUAACGCAAGUGAAGCCCUGAACUGAAGCCCCAGUAAACGGCGGCCGUAACUAUAACGGUCCUAAGGUAGCGAAAUUCCUUGUCAGGUAAGUUCUGACCCGCACGAAAGGCGUAACGAUUUGGGCGCUGUCUCAGCUGUAGACUCGGUGAAGUCUUAGUACCUGUGAAGAUGCAGGUUACCCGCGACUAGACGGAAAGACCCCAUGGAGCUUCACUGCAGGUUGAUAUUGGGAUUUGAUGCAGCAUGUACAGGAUAGGUAGGAGGCAAAGAGAUGGAUACGCCAGUAUUCAAGGAGCCGCUGUUGGGAUACUACCCCUGUUGUAUUGGAUUUCUAACCGGACGACGUAGAGCCGUUGACGGGACAGUGUCAGUCGGGCAGUUUGACUGGGGCGGUCGCCUCCCAAAGAGUAACGGAGGCGCCCAAAGAUACCCUCAGCUUGGAUGGAAACCAAGCGCAGAGUGCAAAGGCAAAAGGGUGUUUGACUGCGAGACCUACAAGUCGAGCAGGGACGAAAGUCGGGCUUAGUGAUCCGGCGGUGCUGAAUGGAAAGGCCGUCGCUCAACGGAUAAAAGCUACCCUGGGGAUAACAGGCUGAUCUCCCCCAAGAGUUCACAUCGACGGGGAGGUUUGGCACCUCGAUGUCGGCUCAUCGCAUCCUGGAGCUGAAGUCGGUUCCAAGGGUUGGGCUGUUCGCCCAUUAAAGCGGUACGCGAGCUGGGUUCAGAACGUCGUGAGACAGUUCGGUCCCUAUCUGUCGUGGGCGCAGGAAAUUUGAGAAGAGCUGUCCUCAGUACGAGAGGACCGGGAUGGACGCAUCAAUGGUGGACCAGUUGUCACGCCAGUGGCAUAGCUGGGUAGCUAAAUGCGGAAGGGAUAAACGCUGAAGGCAUCUAAGUGUGAAACCCACUUCAAGAUGAGAUUUCCCAUUGCGCAAGCAAGUAAGACCCCUUAAAGACGAUAAGGUAGAUAGGUCAGGAGUGUAAGCAUGGUGACAUGUUAAGCGGACUGAUACUAAUAGGUCGAGGGCUUGACCGA
rnacentral:rRNA from 1 species